ACCCUAUUAUUAAGAAAAAUUAUAUUGUUAGUAUAUAAAUUGUAUGAAAACAAAAAAUUAUGGCGGUAUUUUAAGCUUUUCAGAGGAAUUUGCUCUUUAAUGGAUAAAACACCUAAAUCUUACUAAAUUUAGUUAAGCAGUUUGUAUACCACUAUUUAAGUAAUAAUUUGCUAUUAUUACUAAAAUUUAUAUUAAUUAAAAAAAGUUAAGUCAAGGUGCAGCAUAAAUUUUAGUAUGAAGUGAAUUACAUUUCUUUUAAGAAAAAUUUGUUGAAAAUAAAAUUUAGGAUUUGAAAGUAAAAUUUUAAUAGAAGGAAAAUUUGAAUUAAGCUCUAAAAUAUGUACACAUCGCCCG
rnacentral:rRNA from 1 species